CUGAGAGCAGAACAGAACAGAAUCUUCAUCAUCACACAAGACAAAACAACAACAAUGAACAACAUCAUCAUCCUCAUCUGGACACUCACACUGUUUGCUCAAGAGUGUAGAGGACAGUACACUGUUACUCAGAGUCCAUCAAUAACAGCAGCUCAAGGACAAGAAGUCAGAAUAAACUGCAAAGUCAGCAGUAGAGUGGCUGGUGGUAGUUACUUACACUGGUACUUACAGAAACCUGGAGAAGCUCCUAAACUCCUCAUAUAUAAAGCAACAAGCCGUUACACUGGAACUCCAUCUAGAUUCAGUGGCAGUGGAUCUGACAGUGAUUUCACUCUGACCAUCAGUGGAGUCCAGACUGAAGAUACAGGAGAUUAUUACUGUCAGAGUGUACACAGUGGUGGUGUGUUCACACAGUGAUGAAGAGUCGUACAAAAACCUCCAUCAGUCAGAGUCACAGUAACUGCACUGAUACAGAUGAGAGAAACUGCAGCUGCUCUACAACACAAUCACACACAACACUGAUCAACACAAACACUAAUAACACAUUA